UACGUAGGUGACCAGCGUUGUCCGGAUUUACUGGGCGUAAAGAGCGCGCAGGCGGUCGUUCAAGUCGAGUGUGAAAGCCCCCGGCUCAACUGGGGAGGGUCACUUGAUACUGAUCGACUCGAAGGCAGGAGAGGGAAGCGGAAUUCCCGGUGUAGUGGUGAAAUGCGUAGAUAUCGGGAGGAACACCAGUGGCGAAGGCGGCUUCCUGGUCCAGUACCGACGUUCAGGCACGAAAGCGUGGGGAGCAAACAGG
rnacentral:rRNA from 1 species